CCUACGGGGGAAAGAUUUCGGGGAUGGAUGAGCCCGCGUUGGAUUAGCUAGUUGGUGGGGUAAAGGCCUACCAAGGACGAUCCAUAGCUGGUCUGAGAGGAUGAUCAGCCACAUUGGGACUGAGACACGGCCCACUCCUACGGGAGGCAGCAGUGGGGAAUAUUGGACAAUGGGCGCAAGCCUGAUCCAGCUGCCGCGUGAGUGAUGAAGGCCUUAGGGUUGUAAAGCUCUUUCACCGGAGAAGAUAAUCGGUAUCCGGAGAAGAAGCCCCGGCUAACUUCGUGCCAGCAGCCGCGGUAAUACGAAGGGCUAGCGUUGUUCGGAAUUACUGGGCGUAAAGCGCACGUAGGCGGACUUUUAAGUCAGGUGAAAUCCCGGGGCUCAACCCCGGAACUGCCUUUGAUACUGGAAGUCUGGAGUAUGAGAGGUAAGUGGAAUUCCGAGUGUAGAGGUGAAAUUCGUAGAUAUUCGGAGGAACACCUGGCGAAGGCGGCUUACUGGUCCAUUACUGACGCUGAGGUGCGAAAGCGUGGGGAGCA
rnacentral:rRNA from 1 species